rnacentral:rRNA from 1 species
UAAUGUCUGGGAAACUGCCUGAUGGAGGGGGAUAACUACUGGAAACGGUAGCUAAUACCGCAUAACGUCGCAAGACCAAAGAGGGGGACCUUCGGGCCUCUUGCCAUCAGAUGUGCCCAGAUGGGAUUAGCUAGUAGGUGGGGUAACGGCUCACCUAGGCGACGAUCCCUAGCUGGUCUGAGAGGAUGACCAGCCACACUGGAACUGAGACACGGUCCAGACUCCUACGGGAGGCAGCAGUGGGGAAUAUUGCACAAUGGGCGCAAGCCUGAUGCAGCCAUGCCGCGUGUAUGAAGAAGGCCUUCGGGUUGUAAAGUACUUUCAGCGGGGAGGAAGGCGAUAAGGUUAAUAACCUUGUCGAUUGACGUUACCCGCAGAAGAAGCACCGGCUAACUCCGUGCCAGCAGCCGCGGUAAUACGGAGGGUGCAAGCGUUAAUCGGAAUUACUGGGCGUAAAGCGCACGCAGGCGGUCUGUCAAGUCGGAUGUGAAAUCCCCGGGCUCAACCUGGGAACUGCAUUCGAAACUGGCAGGCUAGAGUCUUGUAGAGGGGGGUAGAAUUCCAGGUGUAGCGGUGAAAUGCGUAGAGAUCUGGAGGAAUACCGGUGGCGAAGGCGGCCCCCUGGACAAAGACUGACGCUCAGGUGCGAAAGCGUGGGGAGCAAACAGGAUUAGAUACCCUGGUAGUCCACGCCGUAAACGAUGUCGACUUGGAGGUUGUGCCCUUGAGGCGUGGCUUCCGGAGCUAACGCGUUAAGUCGACCGCCUGGGGAGUACGGCCGCAAGGUUAAAACUCAAAUGAAUUGACGGGGGCCCGCACAAGCGGUGGAGCAUGUGGUUUAAUUCGAUGCAACGCGAAGAACCUUACCUACUCUUGACAUCCAGAGAACUUAGCAGAGAUGGUUCGGUGCCUUCGGGAACUCUGAGACAGGUGCUGCAUGGCUGUCGUCAGCUCGUGUUGUGAAAUGUUGGGUUAAGUCCCGCAACGAGCGCAACCCUUAUCCUUUGUUGCCAGCGGUUAGGCCGGGAACUCAAAGGAGACUGCCAGUGAUAAACUGGAGGAAGGUGGGGAUGACGUCAAGUCAUCAUUGCCCUUACGAGUAGGGCUACACACGUGCUACAAUGGCGCAUACAAAGAGAAGCGACCUCGCGAGAGCAAGCGGA